rnacentral:misc_RNA from 1 species
AAGUCGUAACAAGGUUUCCGUAGGUGAACCUGCGGAAGGAUCAUUAACAUCUUGAAUGGUGGUGUGUGUGUGCGAGUCUCUUUGAGAUGAGCAUGCAUCGCCCUCAACCCCAUUGUGUGCAUGUUUGUGUGUGUGUUUGAGCGUGUGAGUAAAAGAGAGGUCUUACCUCACUUUCACUCUACUUCACUCACUCACCACUCCUUUAUUCACUUCCAACACCCAAACCCCUUCUUCUCAUCACACUAGACUGACUUUAACAUCUCGUUUUCGCUCACCUUUCAACUGAGCAAAACAUCAAUCAGCAUACAACUCUUAGCAACGGAUAUCUUGGCUCUC